UACGGAGGGUGCGAGCGUUGUCCGGAAUCAUUGGGCGUAAAGGGCGCGUAGGCGGCCCGGUCAGUUCGUGGUGAAAGCGCGGGGCUCAACCCUGCGUCGGCCAUGGAUACUGCCGCGGCUGGAGCACUGUAGAGGCAGGCGGAAUUCCGGGUGUAGCGGUGGAAUGCGUAGAGAUCCGGAGGAACACCGGUGGCGAAGGCAGCCUGCUGGGCAGUUGCUGACACUGAGGCGCGACAGCGUGGGGAGCAAACAGG
rnacentral:rRNA from 1 species